UGGGGAAUUUUGGACAAUGGGCGCAAGCCUGUUCCAGCCAUGCCGCGUGAGUGAAGAAGGCCUUCGGGUUGUAAAGCUCUUUCAGACGGAAAGAAAUCGGUGCGUUUAAUACAUGCACUGGAUGACGGUACCGUAAGAAGAAGCACCGGCUAACUACGUGCCAGCAGCCGCGGUAAUACGUAGGGUGCGAGCGUUAAUCGGAAUUACUGGGCGUAAAGCGUGCGCAGGCGGUUAUGUAAGACAGAUGUGAAAUCCCCGGGCUCAACCUGGGAACUGCGUUUGUGACUGCAUAACUAGAGUACGGCAGAGGGGGAUGGAAUUCCGCGUGUAGCAGUGAGAUGCGUAGAUAUGCGGAGGAACACCGAUGGCGAAGGCAAUCCCCUGGGCCUGCACUGACGCUCAUGCACGAAAGCGUGGGGAGCAAAC
rnacentral:rRNA from 1 species